AGUGAACGCUGGCGGCGUGCCUCAUACAUGCAAGUAGAACGCAGUGGCGCACGGGUGAGUAAUAUAUAGUUAAUCUGCACUACACAGAGGAACAACAGUUGGAAAAGAAUGCUAAUACCUCAUAGUGUAGGAUGAGACUAUAUCGUAUCAGCUAGUUGGGAAGGUAAUGGCUUACCAAGGCUAGGACGCGUAACUGGUCUGGGAGGAUGAUCAGUGAUAUUGGAACUGAGACACGGUCCAAAUUCCUACGGGAGGCAGCAGGAAGUAAUAUGUCGCAAUGGCGGAAACCCUGACGCAGCAACGCCGCGUGGAGUAUGACACUUUUCGGAGCGUAAACGCCUUUUAUCAGGUAAGCGGUACCUGCUGAAUAAGCACCGGCUAACUCCGUGCCAGCAGCCGCGGUAAGAC
rnacentral:rRNA from 1 species